AAAACAUAUUUACAUUUAGUUGGAAAAAAUAAGCGUGGUCGCUACACCUAAAAAUUGCAUUUAUCAAUGUCGCUCUAGAUGUAAUGCAAAAUUCAAAAACUAUUACACAUAUAUAUGUAAAAUUUAAAAACUGUUAUGCUAAUAUACACAUAUGAGUAUACUAGGUAGGAUAACAUAAAACAUAUACAUUCAUUCAUUUAUAAAAAAGAACUAAACCAGAGUUGCCCAAUUAGCCAACAACGUCUAACCUGUGACAACUAUAUGAAUAAACUCCGGAUUCCUGUACCUCUUCAUUCAUUUAUCUACAUUUGCAAUUACUACUAUAACUCAAACUAAACUAAUUUGUCCUUUUUAAACAGUGACCAAAACUACUCCAAAAGAAAGCUGUGGGUAAUUAUACCAUGCAACAAUAGAAUGGACAACGACCCAUAUAUUGACCAUCAUCAUGCAAGAGCUACACAACUUGUUAAGUGGCAGAAGGUAUUAGAACAAGUGUAUGUUAAACUAAAGCUAGGAGAUGGAAUUUUCCUUCUUUGCAAUGUUUUACAUUUAAGUUAAGUAUAACCUACAUAUGUUCAUGUUUUUUUAUUUGUUUGUUGGUUAUUUGAACUGCUGUGUUUGUACAGUUUAUGUAUAAUACUAUAUGUUGGUGUUA